GUGCUUACCGAGGCAGCACAUGUACUAAACUUGGAACGAUACAGAGAUCAGCAUGGCCUCCGUGCAAGGAUGACAUGCAUAUUCAUGAAGUGUGCCAAAAUUUU
ensembl:snRNA U6 U6 spliceosomal RNA